GAGGCCUGCCUGCCCAGUGACAAACGUUCAACGGCCGCGGUAUUCUGACCGUGCAAAGGUAGCAUAAUCACUUGUUCCUUAAUUGGGGACUGGAAUGAAUGGCCUCACGAGGAUUCAACUGUCUCUUACCUCUAAUCAGUGAAAUUGACCUCCCCGUGAAGAGGCGGGGAUACAACAACAAGACGAGAAGACCCUAUGGAGCUUUAAUUUUCUGUCUUAACUACUAAAUAACUAACCCUACUGGGAUAAAAAAAAAGAGAAGUAAGUCAGUAAUUUCGGUUGGGGUGACCUCGGAGAAUAAAACAACCUCCGAAUGAUUUUAACCAAGACAAACAAGUCAAAGUAUUAAAAAUCAAAUUGACCCAAUUCAUUUGAUCAACGGACCAAGUUACCCUAGGGAUAACAGCGCAAUCCUAUUCAAGAGUCCAUAUCGACAAUUAGGGUUUACGACCUCGAUGUUGGAUCAGGACAUCCCAAUGGUGCAGCAGCUAUUAACGGUUCGUUUGUUCAACGAUUAAAGUCCUACGUGAUCUG
rnacentral:rRNA from 1 species